rnacentral:rRNA from 1 species
AGUGAACGCUGGCGGUAGGCCUAACACAUGCAAGUCGAACGGCAGCACAGUAAGAGCUUGCUCUUACGGGUGGCGAGUGGCGGACGGGUGAGGAAUACAUCGGAAUCUACUUUUUCGUGGGGGAUAACGUAGGGAAACUUACGCUAAUACCGCAUACGACCUACGGGUGAAAGCAGGGGAUCUUCGGACCCUGCGCGAUUGAAUGAGCCGAUGUCGGAUUAGCUAGUUGGCGGGGUAAAGGCCCACCAAGGCGACGAUCCGUAGCUGGUCCGAGAGGAUGAUCAGCCACACUGGAACUGAGACACGGUCCAGACUCCUACGGGAGGCAGCAGUGGGGAAUAUUGGACAAUGGGCGCAAGCCUGAUCCAGCCAUACCGCGUGGGUGAAGAAGGCCUUCGGGUUGUAAAGCCCUUUUGUUGGGAAAGAAAAGCAGCAGGUUAAUACCCCGCUGUUCUGACGGUACCCAAAGAAUAAGCACCGGCUAACUUCGUG